rnacentral:rRNA from 1 species
AACGAACGCUGGCGGCAGGCUUAACACAUGCAAGUCGAACGCCCCGCAAGGGGAGUGGCAGACGGGUGAGUAACGCGUGGGAACAUACCCUUUUCUACGGAAUAGCUCUGGGAAACUGGAAUUAAUACCGUAUAUGCCCUACGGGGGAAAGAUUUAUCGGGGAAGGAUUGGCCCGCGUUGGAUUAGCUAGUUGGUGGGGUAAAGGCCUACUAAGGCGACGAUCCAUAGCUGGUCUGAGAGGAUGAUCAGCCACAUUGGGACUGGGACACGGCCCAAACUCCUACGGGAGGCAGCAGUGGGGAAUAUUGGACAAUGGGCGCAAGCCUGAUCCAGCCAUGCCGCGUGUGUGAUGAAGGCCUUAGGGUUGUAAAGCUCUUUCACCGAUGAAGAUAAUGACGGUAGUCGGAGAAGAAGCCCCGGCUAACUUCGUGCCAGCAGCCGCAGUAAUAC